UUUUUAUCGGAGAGGAUUCUUUCAUUAGCUUUUGAUGUGAUUUCAUCUCUGUUGAAACAGGGCCUGGAUGGAGAAUAGUUUCUCCACAUUUUUCAUCUCUGUUGGACUCUGCAAUCUUUCAAGCAUUGGUAAUGAAUGAAAAGGAUAUCGUAGUGUGGGAAGAAGAUGCAGAUGAGUACAUACGAAAGAAUCUUCCAUCUGACAUAGUAUGGAAAGUUUAUACCACAUUUAGUGUGUGAUAUGUAAGACAUUUUAUAUAGGUAUGAGGUAUUACUACCAGUUGCAUACUAUGUGUGUAAUAUAUGCGGCGUUGUCUUAUGCUUAAGUGCUCUGCCUAAGAUGUAAAAUUGAUGGGGUCUAUUAGAAUUAAACCAUAUUCGCCUUUUGGA